GGCACAACAAGGAGUUCCUUUCAAGUAGACUUUAAGCUAGUUCGGUGACGAUCGCAAACGUUUUCAUCUGCUCCAAUCUCAUGCCAAACAAAGUAUCAUCGUUUUACCAUUUUUUCGGUCAAUAAACCUGUGGACUAGAAGACGUUUUUCAGAGUGUUUGAUCAAGAAAAGAAACAGUGACGUUGCAGAAUGCUGACUCCUCAUUGGCUCAGGUGGAGCAUUAUUAAACAUUUCCUGCUUCAUUUGUCCUGUUUGCAGUCAAGCGAGUGUUCGUCACUUUUGUCUUUCUCUGCGGGAUUAAAAGUGACAAACAUCUUUUUGUUUCAUCAACUUCUUUUUAUUCUUUCUUCUGGUCGUGCAAAUGCACAGCGUGA